rnacentral:lncRNA from 1 species
CAACUAUCUUAGCAACCUUUUCCACACCUUGCAGUGUUACAACCGGAGGCUUAGCAUCACCAAGCUCACCAACAGAGAGGUUCCUCAUCCACGGCUCCGGAUUCGCUUCCAAGAAAGGUAACCCCUUAAGAUGCAGUAUGAUAUCAUAGAUACUUGGGUUAAAGCUGUCUCCCACAGUUUUAGCAAUCAGAAGCACUAUCAUCGUAAUGGGAAGCAAAAGAAGGUUGUUGGUGAGUUCAAGAAAUAUAACACAGAGUGACACAGUCAUUCUCAUGGAUCCAGCCAUGAGUGAAGCUGCACCAAGGACAGCGUAAAGCCCUUGGUCAAUGCUAGUGUAUGAUCCCAUCAACCCACCAAGCAUUCUUCCAUACGCAGAACCCAUGAGGAUGAUAGGGAGGAAGAGACCAGACGGAGUUGCGAUACCAAACGUGAAAAGCCCCAAGAUGCAGUAGAGCACAAAGAAUAUCCAAAGGGAGCCCAUGCUGAACUCAUUAGGAGUGUUGGAAGAGAAGAUGUUCCUGACAGCAUCAUCGUUGGUGGUGAGAAGCAGAGUAGCUAGAUCACUGUAGUAGCCUUUUGGGCAAUGGAACUGUUUGAAGUUCCCUGAUCUACCAUUCGUUGGGCAUCUCUCUUCUAUGGAGGGGUCACAAGGUGUGCAUUUGGCCAAGAAAGGAAGACCGUAGAGACAAACCGAUGUGAAGAGAGAUACAGUAAGAGCAAGAAGCACCUUAUGGAUCUUACCCUUCCUGCAAAAAGACCAAACAAAGGUAAGUAAUUAAGCACCUAGUAGAGUUUGCACUAUGUUUCAAGCAUUUCAAAACUUAACUGGUUGAUGAGAUUGUAAAGCCGGAGAACUUUAUGGAGAAAGUGAUUGUAGAGACUCCCAAGAACUCCACCGAUGACACCAAUCAACAUGACAGGGAUUAUAUCAGUCGCAUGGUAAGUAUAAGUAACGUGACUCACAUCAAACAUGAUAAGCCCUCCUCUUCCAAACAAUCCACACUUGCCUGAGUUGCAUAUCUCUAUGAACUCCCUUAGAACAACCACAACAACCGCUGUGCUGAAGAAAGUCCGCCACAACAGGGCGCUUCUCCACCAAGUGGCAACUUCCUCGAGCGCGAAAAGCACGCCUCCCACAGGUGACCUGAAGGCUGCACAGACUCCAGCUGCUGAGCCGCACGUUAUAAGAUCCCUUCGGUCUCUAUCGUUGUUGAAGUAACGAAGCCACCGCCACUUUAACCGGUGGUUGUCUGGUCCGCCUUGCCCGAGCAAUGAAGCUAUGCAGGUUCCUAUGUGAACUAGAGGACCUUCUUUGCCUAGAUCAAGUCCAGCUGCAACCGCUCCAAUGCUUCCAAUGAUCUAUCAAACCCCGCAAAUAGUGUGUUAAUAAUCAAACUUUUUUUUUCAGUUCCAGGAGCUCCUUAAUCCCCUCGGGCCGAAACCACAUCAUAUAAUGUUGGUUUCAUUCCAUCGGUCAUUCGAACUGGGGACCUCUGACACAAUUGCCAAGGUCCUUUGGUCUUAAUAAUCAAACUUAACACAUGAGUCUCCUUAAAAAGUUUAGAAACAGACCUUAACGAUCAUAGUGGUAGCACCAAACAUGUUGGGAGUGUCGAUGCCAUUAAGAUAAGCUUUGAUCUCAGGAAUGCCAGGACCAGCAGCCGUAGGAGCAAAUACAACAACAAGUACUGUCCCCACCAGAGUCAGACCCAAAUUCGCACCAGUAAAAACCAACAGACCUGUCACAUAUCUAUUUCAACAGAAACGUAUCAUACAAGUUAACUCCAUUUCUUAGUUAUGAACGUUUUUUUUUUGGUCAAGAUUUUGAUGAUGAGUCAAUACCUGUCUUGACCGAUAUAGUGGCCGACGGCCAGGAGUUUGUAACCCGCGAUGUUUUCGACGGCGAGGUUGAUGAGAGUAGCUAUGAGACCAGUUAAGAGACCAACAAGAAAAGCUAAUGUCCAUUUUGCGAAUAUGUAUUGCAACACUUGUGUCUUUGAUCUGCUUCUCCAGUCAUGCUUGAACAGAUCAUUCUCGUUUAUUCUGCAGUAAUCACAAAUUUUAAUUUAAUUUUUCUUACAAAAUUAUUACAAUAGUUCAUGUCUCCAUCACUGAAUACUUUCCUUCGAGUUAUUUAUGAAAUUAAAGAUUAUCUGAAAACAGAGUAAAGAUCAAAACUUUAUGAGACCAAGACUAAUCAUGCUACUAUGCAAAAGGUGACCCAAGUUCUUGACAUCGAUUCUUUUUUAAGAUUUGGCUAUUGAUUGUUUGCGGAAAAUUGAAGAAGUGAGAGACUUGAAGUAUUACAACAGUUCAUAUGUCUGCAUCACUGCUAUAUUCAUCCAAUUUUUAUUUAUUUUAUAUAAAUGACGAUAAUCUGAAAACAAGAGAGUAAGACUAGUAAGAUCUAUAGAGAGACUGAGAUCAAGAAUCUAAAUCUGUUAGGUAAAGAAGACAUACUCAUAGUCUAAGCUCUCGAUGUGUGAAACAUAUGUUCCUUUUUAAACAGGAGAUAUGGUUCCUCACUCACUGUGAUUUUACAAGUAUUAAAAGAGAUCUGUGCAAUAUUUUUAACUUAUGAGUCUUCUGUUUGGUAUGAAGAAAAAAGUGCAAAACUGGACAGAAACAUCUUCAAGAAUGGGAAGACAACAACAUAGCUGCAGAGCCAUUUUUACAGACAACAGGUAAAACAAAUUGAGUAGCGAUUCAGUGUGCUUUUCUACCUUUGGAUUUUUCCAAGUGAGGAAAAGCUUGUAGAAUGUUGUAUGCCCUUAGAUCCUGCCUGGUUAAGAUCCCAAUGACAGGAGAUCUCUGCAAACGAUUUACAAUUUAGUUAGUUUCAUUAAUUGUUAAUAGGUUUUAUAGUGAAAGUAAAAUAGAAUGAAAGAAGGCAUAUAGACUCACUCCUGAGGCUUGAAUCCUGGGAACAAUAAGCAAAUGUCGGAGUCCCACUUGCCGGAACAGCACCAAAGCCUUGGCCACAGACAUGUUCUCCAUAACAGUGUAAGGUGUUGUGUUAGUGAGAGGAUGAAGAUCAACAUACAUUUGCAUCUCAGAGCUUGUGAUUGCCACAUCGUCAAAGUUGUCUUCUCUCUCAGCCAGUUCAUCCCAUGGAAACUUCUCCCUGACCUCCCACUCCUCUGUUCUUCUCUUCUCUGUCAAGAACCAUCUCUUUUUCAGAACUUUAACCAGGUGGGCUCUCAGGAUCAACCCAUGAAGCUCUAUAGCCCCAGUUCCUAGACCCAUUUGAGGAGGUACUUCUGCUUCAUCUAAAACAGGGAAUGCAUUAUGCGUCGUGUUCCUUAGCACAUCAACUAUCUUAGCAACCUUUUCCACACCUUGCAGUGUUACAACCGGAGGCUUAGCAUCACCAAGCUCACCAACGGAGAGGUUCCUCAUCCACGGCUCCGGAUUCGCUUCCAAGAAAGGUAACCCCUUAAGAUGCAGUAUGAUAUCAUAGAUACUUGGGUUAAAGCUGUCUCCCACAGUUUUAGCAAUCAGAAGCACUAUCAUCGUAAUGGGAAGCAAAAGAAG